rnacentral:rRNA from 1 species
GAUGAACGCUGGCGGCGUGCCUAAUACAUGCAAGUAGAACGCUGAAGGAAGGAGCUUGCUCUUUCCGGAUGAGUUGCGAACGGGUGAGUAACGCGUAGGUAACCUGCCUGGUAGCGGGGGAUAACUAUUGGAAACGAUAGCUAAUACCGCAUAACAGUAGAUGUUGCAUGAUAUCUACUUAAAAGGUGCAAUUGCACCACUACCAGAUGGACCUGCGUUGUAUUAGCUAGUUGGUGAGGUAACGGCUCACCAAGGCGACGAUACAUAGCCGACCUGAGAGGGUGAUCGGCCACACUGGGACUGGGACACGGCCCAGACUCCUACGGGAGGCAGCAGUAGGGAAGCUUCGGCAAUGGACGGAAGUCUGACCGAGCAACGCCGCGUGAGUGAAGAAGGUUUUCGGAUCGUAAAGCUCUGUUGUAAGAGAAGAACGAGUGUGAGAGUGGAAAGUUCACACUGUGACGGUAUCUUACCAGAAAGGGACGGCUAACUACGUG